GACGAACGCUGGCGGCGUGCUUAACACAUGCAAGUCGAACGGAAAGGCCCUGCUUUUGUGGGGUGCUCGAGUGGCGAACGGGUGAGUAACACGUGAGUAACCUGCCCUUGACUUUGGGAUAACUUCAGGAAACUGGGGCUAAUACCGGAUAGGAGCUCCUGCUGCAUGGUGGGGGUUGGAAAGUUUCGGCGGUUGGGGAUGGACUCGCGGCUUAUCAGCUUGUUGGUGGGGUAGUGGCUUACCAAGGCUUUGACGGGUAGCCGGCCUGAGAGGGUGACCGGCCAAAUGGGGACUGAGAGACGGCCCAGACGCAUACGGGAGGGAGCAGUGGGGAAUAUUGCACAAUGGGCGGAAGCCUGAUGCAGCAACGCCGCGUGCGGGAUGACGGCCUUCGGGUUGGAAACCGAUUUCGCCUGUGACGAAGCGUGAGUGACGGUAAUGGGUAAAGAAGCACCGGCUAACUACGU
rnacentral:rRNA from 1 species